rnacentral:rRNA from 1 species
AUUGAACGCUGGCGGCAUGCCUUACACAUGCAAGUCGAACGGCAACAGGUCUUCGGAUGCUGACGAGUGGCGAACGGGUGAGUAAUACAUCGGAACGUGCCUAGUAGUGGGGGAUAACUACUCGAAAGAGUGGCUAAUACCGCAUGAGAUCUACGGAUGAAAGCAGGGGAUCGCAAGACCUUGUGCUACUAGAGCGGCCGAUGGCAGAUUCGGUAGUUGGUGGGAUAAAAGCUUACCAAGCCGACGAUCUGUAGCUGGUCUGAGAGGACGAUCAGACACACUGGGACGAGGACACGGCCCAAACUCCUACGGAGGGGAGCAGUGGGGAAUGUUGAAAAAUGGGCGCAAGCCUGUUCCAGCAAUGCCGCGUGCAGGAUGAAGGCCUUCGGGUUGUAAACUGCUUUUGUACGGAACGAAAAGCCCUGGGUUAAUACCCUGGGGUCAUGACGGUACCGUAAGAAUAAGCACCGGCUAACUACGUGCCAGCCGCCGCCGUAACAC